rnacentral:tRNA from 1 species
GGCUGAAUAGCUCAGUGGUAAGAGCACUCGCCCGGCAAGCGAAAGACUCGGGUUCGAUUCCCGAUUCAGCGA